AAUCAGAGCGCAGACAUUGUGAUUAGGUUCUCUCAGGCAGCAGAGAAGCAUUGCACCGAAAUUUUAACACGAAAGCGGCCCUGCGUUGCCUUCUUUGGUCGCCAUGGCUGCCGUGACUUCUGGAGAAGAAGCCGAACAGACCGCUUCGAGCGAUAUAGCAUGCGAAGGGGGGAACGACGAGAAGAAAGAAAACGGCCUCACUGAGCCGGAAACGGAGCAACAUAACAGCAGCUCCGAGCCAAAGAUGGAAGAGGUGGCCGCAGAGUCCGGCGAGGACAAACCCGUGGAAGCAGCAAGCAAGGCCGCGGGGGAGGCGGCAGCCGACGACACCGCCUCUACUCCUGCGACCAAGGAGACGACGGCAGCCACCGAAGAACCGGAGACGCACAGUCGCACAGAGGAUGGCAACAGCGAAAACACGAUGAAAGAUACUAAGGUGGAACCUGAGGAGGACAGCCGGAGUUCGGGCAUGGACUGCGAGAAGAGCAUAACUGUCUGUGAAGAUGGGGAGAAACCCAGCAAUGGAGGCGGGGAAAUGGGCGACAAGCGGCGGCCGAGUGAGGAGAUGUCCUCCUCGGAUGGCGAGCCGUUGAGCCGCAUGGACUCGGAGGACAGUAUCAGCAGUACCCUGAUGGAGAUGGAGAGCGGGGCCUCGAGUGGACGCUCCACCCCGGCGAUGAUGAACGGACAGGGCAGUGCACGAUCUUCGGGGAACAAGACCAUGGCGUACACCUGCUGCUGGGACCUCUGUCCGCAGUGCUUCAACUCCAGCCCGGACCUGGCUGAGCACAUCAGGGGGAUCCACGUGGACGGGCAGAGAGGAGGGGUGUUUGUGUGUCUGUGGAAAGGCUGCAAAGUGUACAACACACCGUCAACUAGUCAGAGCUGGCUCCAACGACACAUGCUGACCCACAGUGGGGACAAACCCUUUAAGUGUGUUGUUGGUGGCUGCAACGCCAGCUUUGCUUCCCAGGGAGGGCUGGCUCGCCAUGUCCCCAGCCACUUCAGCCAGCAGAGCUCCUCUAAAAUGUCCAGCCAGGCCAAACUGAAGGAGGAGUCUCCCUCCAAAGCCGGGUUAAAUAAGAGGAAGAAGCUCAAGAACAAGCGCAGGUGCACAUUACCGAGGCCGCAUGACUUCUUUGAUGUCCAAACCAUGGAUGCUAUUCGCCACAGGGCCAUCUGUCUCAACCUCACCACCCACAUUGAAAGUGGCGGUAAUGGCCACAGUGUUGUCUUUCACAGCACGGUGUUGGCCAGAAGAAAGGAGGGAUCUGGCAAGGUCAAGGUACUUCUACACUGGACACCUGAAGACAUAUUGCCUGAUGUGUGGGUGAAUGAAACGGAGCGAUCUCAGCUGAAGACCAAAGUGGUGCACUUAUCCCAGUUACCACAGGACACGGCCAUGCUGUUAGACCCAAACAUCUACCGAGCGCUUCCUCAAAAGCGGCUGAAGCGCAGCCUGUUAUUCUUUCCAGAUCUCAAAUGCAUUUUGGCAGCUUUGGUUCCCUGCUGUUAUCCUGGAAGCAGAGCGGGUUCCUGAAUGUUGACCCGCUGCUGAUAACACACCGACCCGAGCGUCUUCCAACUGAGAGCAGAGAUUAGUUAAUCCCUACUGGAGGGUCCUGUUUUGACAGUAAAGGCCUAGAUAGGCUAACAGAACGUUCUGUGCGGUAAUAAAGACCUACAUUUCUGCUUCCUGGAUCCAAUCUGAGAUGGAAAUAUGAAAACGAGGUCUCUGUGAAGCAAGGGAAGUCAAAGGAGGAAGCUUGCAUAAGUCAUUACAGUUGACCUGUAAGCAAAGAAAGGGUCUGCAUCAAUGACUUGAUGUCGAGUCCUGUUUUUGUGAUUGCCCACAACUCGCUGCUGUUUCAGCAUCCAGCCUGAGCGUUGAGUGGGCCUUCGGGCGUUCAUGCAGCUUUGACCUCCUUCUCUACGUUUCCAUCUGACUUUUGGAGGCAAACGGGGACGAUUUUAUGUUAUUCAUACUGGGCUUUGAAUCAUUGUCCCUGGAAUAAAAGUAGAGUUUGAAGAAGCUAAUUUACUGCUUUUUUUUUUUUUUUUUUUUGAUUGGUAGCAAAGACAUGAAACAAUCUGACCCCAAACGUCUGAGAUGACACUUAACACGCCAUAGUUUUGACAACACGCCUCAACUGUGGGAAACUGAUGGACUCCGUCAUGAUGGGCAGCGAUGGUGAUUAUAGACCAUUGCAUAAAAAUGGCUGCAGAAAUGGCCUGUUUUCUGCUCUGUGAACUCAGGCUCUUGGGAGAACUAAUCAGUGAAGCCUCAUUACCUCCACCUCUUUCCUAAUUUCAGCCUCAGCUUCAGAGCAUGAACGCUACUCCCAGUAUGAAAAGGAAAUCUGCAUACAUAAAUAUCCGUUUAUAUAA